ensembl:lncRNA
CCACACUCUGGAGCCUAGAACACCAGGUUUAUGGUCUUCCGUAUACUCAUCUCCACUUUCCAUGUUGCUAACCUCGGUCUCCACAUGGAUAGCUUGGCCACCAUGGCUCAGCUCUUCUCCUCCUCCUCACCAUCAGAUACCCUUCUGUGAUGUGAUAAGGACCAUGACUGAAAGCAUCUUGGGGAGGAAAAGGUGUAUUUCAGCUUUUGCUUCCAGAUCCAUCGUGAAAGGAUACUGCCCAGGGAGUCAAGGCAGGAACCUGGAGGAAGGAGCCAAGACCACCAUGGAGGAGCACUGCUCACUGGCUUGCUCUCUCAUUGCUUGUUCAUUUUACUUUCUUAAGCAACCCGGGACCAUCUGCCCAGGGUGCUCUGGGCCCUCCCACAUGAAUAAUUAAUCAGGGAAUAUCCCAACGAUUUGCCUACCGGCCAAUCUGAUGAAAACCGAUUCCUCGAUUGACACUCCCUCUUCCCAGGUGAUCCGGGGCUGACAAAAAACUAACCAGCACACAUCUUGAAAGUGAGACUCGGGCUAGCCUCUGCCCCUUUGGUCAGUGCUGUCAGGUCCCUUUGGACAGUUUUACUCUUAUCAGCUGUCACUGGUGGGAUGAGGAUGCGGUGCUUCACGAAGAAAGUUCAUUUCAGAGGGCAGCAUGGUCAGACUGGAGAGGAUGAGAGCAAAGCUGGGGUCGGGGGGACAGAAGCUGGGACCUCACAUCCUGGGGAGGAGGACCCCAUGCCCACCUUUAUGUUGUGCAGCUCACUGGGGACUGGAGAAAGAUGGGGCUGGAGGAUGACAUCUCCACCUUCCUGGUUCGCCUACACCCUUCUCUUCGAUGUCCCUCAGCAAAUAGGCCUUGUGCACCACCUGCUGUCCAGAUUGUGAAUGGUAUACUAACAUUCCAUGCAUUGUUUGAGUUUAUUCAGAUUAUGGUCAAGCAGUCUCCACCCGGCUUCUUCUCUACUCCUGCGUGGCUUUCUGAGAACCCAUAGCAGUGGUUCUCAACCUUCCUAAUGCCACGACCCUUUAAUACAGUUCCUCGUGUUAUGAUGACCCCCCAACAAUAAAAUUAUUUCAUUGCUACUUCAUAACUAAUUUUGUUUCUGUUAUGAAUCACAGUGUAAGUAUUUAACAUGCAGGAUAUCAGCUCUGUGACCCCUGUGGAGUCACGCCCCACAGGUUGAGAACCAUUACCUUAUAGCAUGCUUGCUGAACACGAGUAGACAUGAACCGACUGCAGCAGAGGUAACUUUGGCUUGCGCCAAUGAGGUUUUAACCUCUCCCUAGAGAGGCUGGGGAGGCCCUGGAGUAAGAAAUAAAAAUAUGAUUCUGCAGUCCUAAAGCUCAGUCUACUGGGAAGGCUUGUGGGAAGCACACAAGCAGCUAAUUGAAAUGACAACGUUGUGAGGGAGACAAUGAGGACACAGAGAGUGAUGUGAGCUACACUGAUGCCUGUCAGAGAGGUAGCAGUAUUUACCGGAGCCCGGAGGGAUGGGCAGGCAUUCACAGGAAGGGAAGAACAACUGACUGGCUUUCCAGGUGGGUGGAAUGGCAAAUGCAAAAAUUAAGGACAUUUAAGCAUCUAUCACCUCUUCUGGGAGCAGCAAGAAGUGACUUGGGAACAACUGUUUGCAUUCUGUAACAAGUCCUCCCAGGCUUCUUGAGAUGUGUUUGUAGGUAAAUCUUUGUAAAGGGUGUGUCUGUCUGUGAUUUGCCUUCAUUCUCUACACAUCAUAUUUUAGAGACCCCCC